UUCCAGUCACAGCACUCAAUAGUUGCCAUGCAGAGUAACUCUCCAUCCCAGGAGCAGCAGCAACAGCAGCAACAGCAGCAGCAACAGCAGCAGCAGCA
rnacentral:miRNA from 1 species